CCCGGUGCAGCUACCAGACUCCAGGCUGGUCCUCGGGAAUGUCUGCAAAGGAUCCAGUGAUACGACCUGUCUUCAAGUCUCCCAGCAAUUCCCUGCUCUCCUUCUUCUCUCCCUGUGUACUACCCAUUGCCAGAUGUAUUGAAGAAACAAACGUGUGGAUGGAAUGGUGACUUUGGGAAGAUGCUUGCAUUCUUUCAGCUGUAGAGAAUAUGUGGAAGGCACUGACUCCAGCAGCUCUCUGCAUUGCCAUGGGACUUAUGAAAGGACAGAACAUUGGAUUUCCUGCCUAGAAGCCCAGAAUGUCAGCUUAUCCUGUGGGGAGCAGUUAUUGCAGAUGAAGGUGGCUUAUAGGGAAGAUGAAUUGGCAAUGAAUAGGUGGGAGUGGACAGCAUAAACCCUUCAGGCUCAACUGAAUUUGGAAAGAAGAGAACAUUUAGAAAAUUUGUUGUAAGGCUUUUCUGACAACUAGAUUUGUAAAAAAAAAGAUAAGCUUUAGUGUUCUUAAUGGCACUUUUGGGGCAAAUGCAGAAAUCUUCAUCCAUGUCCCUAAACUCCUGUGGCUGCUGUAGGGCUCCUUCUACUUGUAAACUCUACUAGCUCUUUCCUGGAUCCUCCUUUUCUUCUGGUACCACCCAUUUUUCCUUGGCAUAUUUCUGCUCUCAUUGCUUAGGGCCCCUUCAAAAAUGUGUGUUGACGUUGAUUAUCUUUUGGGACCAGUGCCUUAAGUUUCCUUUCUUCCCUUUUGUCUAUAACCCUCGUUCGGUGAUCCCUGAGGAAGGUUAUGGCUUUAAUGGUUGUUUUCCAGAAUUUCCCUUUUCUACUCUCACAAAUUUAAAAUGCAGUUAUGUUAAGAAGAACUAAUAAUCAACAAAAGCAAGGGAUAAUUAUAAACACAGUGUGGCACUUACACUAUCAAUAAAAACAUGGGCAUUCUGACAUUCUAAGCUCUCUUUGC
rnacentral:lncRNA from 1 species